UGGGCCUCCGUUUCUAGAGGCGAGGCGAGAAAUGUCGCCCUCCGUCUCCGCCGCCGUUCUCCGCCGCCUCGGCGACCGGCUCGGCCUCCGCCGACUCGCCACGCUCCCCGACUACGCGGCCGGCGCCGAUGAGCUGCCGCAGCACCCCACCUCCAAGGACGCCUACUUCGCGGCGGUCAACCACCUCUCCACCAUCGUACGGCGCGACUUCUACCUGGAGCGCACCCUGAACCGCCUCCGCCUGCCGUCCCCCUUCCCGCCGGACCUCGCGCUCCGCGUCAUCCGCGCCGCUGCCCCCUCCGAGCCCCUCCACGCCGCCCGCUUCCUCGCGUGGCUCCGGGCGAAGCCCAAUUUCUCCCCCUCCGCCGAUCACUUCGACGCGCUGCUCCUCCCGCUCGCCCGCGCGCGCCUCUUCACCCACCUCUGGACCCAGGCCUCCGACAUGCGCGCGCUCGGCCUCCCCCUCUCUCCGGCAACCUUUUCGGCGGUGAUCUCGUCCUACGGCCACUCCCGCCUCGCCGAGCAGGCCGUCGAGGUCUUCAAUCGCCUUCCCCACUUCGGGUGCCCGCAGACCACCGAGGUCUACAACGCCCUUCUGGACGCGCUCUGCGCCAACGGCAACUUUGCCGGCGCCUACAAGCUGCUCCGCCGCAUGGCGCGCAAGGGCGUGGCCCCCGACCGCGCCACGUUCAGCACGCUCGUCGACGCCUGGUGCGCGUCGGGGAAGCUCCGGGAGGCGCAGGCGUUCCUCGACGACAUGUCGUCCCGCGGGUUCCGGCCGCCGGUGCGCGGCCGGGACCUCCUCGUCGACGGGCUCGUCCGAGCUGGGCGCCUGGAGGAAGCCAAGGCAUUCGCCCUCCGCAUCACCAAGGAGGGCGUCCUUCCCGACGUGGCCACGUUCAACUCGCUCGCCCAGGCGCUUUGCGAUGCUGGUGAUGUGGAAUUCGCCGUGGGUCUUCUUGCCGAUGCUUCCAGUCGUGGCAUGUGCCCAGAUAUCUCAACUUACAAAGUGAUGCUACCGGCCGUGGCCAAGGCUGGCCGAAUUGAGGAGGCAUUCCGAUUGUUCUAUGCGACUAUUGAGGAUGGCCACCGGCCCUUCCCAAGUCUAUAUGCGGCGAUCGUCAAGGCGCUCUGCAAGGCAGGUCGUUUCGCUGAUGCUUUCGCCUUUUUUGGUGAUAUGAAGUCCAAGGGGCACCCACCCAAUCGGCCUGUGUAUGUGAUGCUUGUCAAAAUGUGUGUGAGAGGUGGUCGGUUCUUGGAUGCUGCAAACUACCUUCUUGAGAUGAGUGAGGCUGGGUUCGCGCCACGGGCGCCAACCUUUAACGUUGUAGUCGAUGGGCUGCGGCAUCUUGGGAAACAUGACCUAGCCCGGAGGAUGGAGCAGCUUGAGAUGUCACUAAAAGGAAACUGAAUGGAUCCGGAAGUAGAUGCGGUCUAGUGGGGCGCUGCGAAUUGCUUGGUAAAGUUUCUGAAUUACUAGGUUGGGCUCCUAUCUUCUAAUUGCAUUUCAUGACAUAGGCCGCCAGUGCUAUGCUGUUGGACUGUGACUGGUUCACAAGAAAAGUAGUGGUGGAGUAGGCACUAAGUUCAGAAGAAUGUAAGUUUUGUGGUUGCAUAGAUAAGAUUAUUGAAAUAUCCAUGGUCCAUUGGUGUUUGAUCAGGUGUUUUCACUGUUCAAUUUAGCACCAACUCUGUGCUCCAUGAUAAUUCAGUAUAAAGAUUGGAGCCAUGCUACCUUGUAUGAUUUAAAACUGUAUUGUUGAGAUGUCACUAGAAGGAAACUGAAUGAAUCGGGAAGUAGAUGCUGUCUAGUGGGGUGCUGUGAAUUGCAUGGUAAAGGUUCUGAAUUUUCAGGUAGGAUUCCUGUCUUCUGAUUGUAUCCUGUGACAUAAACCAAUGUUAUGCUGUUGGACUGUUGGAUAUGCUGGUCAAGUGAUUUGUUUGUUUUGGGUAGGAAGGAUCAAUGAAUAAGAUCAUUGGAUAGCCUCAACUAAUGUGGUCAAAUUUGUGUAGUGAAGGUUAACAAGAAGAGUAGUGGUGGAGUAUGCAGUAAGUUGAGUGGAAUUUAAGUGUUGUGGUUGCAUAGAUUAGAUUUUGAAAUAUCCACUGCCCCAUCGGUGUUUGACCAAGUGGACCAGGUGCUUUCACUGUUGAAUUUAGAACCAACUCUGUGAUCCAUGAGAAUUCAUGUAGAAUAAAGAUUGGAGCCAUGAUACCUUGUACGAUUUGAGAUCGCGUUGUAGAGAUAGGGCUGACUACUGAUAUUGUGUGCUGAAACCUCAAGGCAAAUCACUUACCAUUGCAAGGUUGAGGUCCCUGUGUUGUCUUCUGGACAAAAGAACAACACAGUAUGAGUCUUAAUGGGGGAGAUUUCAAUUUUUUGAGAUUGACAGUGCUCCGCCUUUUUGUAGAAUGCACAUUUGCGGAGACAAAGUGAUACUGAAAAUGGUUAGCUGUUUGAAGUGUUCAAAUCAGUUUAUGGUGGAAGUGUUUCGUUGACCAUGCAUCAGUUUUAACUUUUAAGAUAGUUUGGUAGUACAUUGCAAUUGAUUCAUAUAUGUCCUGCACCACAGCACCGACACUCUUCUUUAAGGAUGAACAAUGUGAGAAUGGCCCCUGUGAAUCAGCAUACUGCAUGAAAUGAUUGUUACUCGUCCUUUGUAAUGACUAUGAUGAAGGUUGUUCUGCUUCUGCAUAGCUGUUGGUUGUUGCUUUAUGUUUUUUCCUUCCUUUUUUUGUGUGCAGUGUUUCAACUUUGCCCUUCGUGAGCAUCAGAUACUCGAUUGGCAUGCAGAAUUGGACUUACCUUACAGUGUCCUAAUACCUUCUGACAAGGAACCAUCCGGGUGCACCCAACGAGAUCAAAGCUGAAUGAACCUAUGUUGUUACAUCAUGUGGCCAGAAUAGCCGGGCAUGCGGUGGCUCGACGUUCACAAGCUGAUUACAGGCUAUUGUGUCUCCUGAACAUACUACUGCAGAACUCAAGAACUCCCCAGUGAUUUGGGGAAGGAAUUUGCCUUGCGUUCGAUGGUCUGCCUUCUGUAUGGCGACAAACUACUGUCACGGCGGUGUUAGUAAGCGUAUGGGCACGACUGCAGAAGGGGGGAAUGCAGAGAUGUUUUGAAAUCAGGAGGUCAGCUAUGAACCUAUGACUGAUCACACCGCUGAGGAAUGCAAAUUCGAGAAGCUGAGGGAGGAGUUGAUGAUGAGAUACAACAUUGUCUUGCAUUUCAUAGACUGGGAAUCGAUUUUUUUUCUUGUGAAAAAACAUUGCUUAAUGUGAAUGUUGCAAUGAACUGAUAUACCUUGUCUUUUUUCCCGACCGAAGGUCUUUUGAAGAUGUAUACAUUGUUCAACUUUCCGUGAUGGAAAUUGUGGGUAAAUUCAGUUGGUCCAAA